rnacentral:misc_RNA from 1 species
GGAAGGAUCAUUACCAACCAUUAGUGAGCUUUGGACUUGUCCAUGGACUCGCGAAAUCUGUAUUUAAAACCCGCUCAUAUAACUAAAACAUGUAGUAUUAUGAUAAUUAAAGAUCACUUUCAACAACGGAUCUCUUGGCUCUCGCAUCGAUGAAGAACGUAGCGAAGUGCGAUAAGUAAUGUGAAUUGCAGAAUUCCGUGAAUCAUCGAAUUUUUGAACGCAAAUUGCACUCUCCGGUUUUCCGGGAGAGUAUGCCUGUUUGAGGGUCAGCCUAAAUAAAAUCGAUGUGUCGCUUUUGUGACUUUCGGAAUUGGGUUAUCUUAACCUAUCAGGUUAAGUGGCCUGAAAUUUAUGUUUUUUGCGCAUCCUAGACGUGUAUAAUUUAUUUAUCCGUUUUCGAUGCCGAACUCUAUUAGGUAUGGUCAUGUCGUGUGGUCUCGUACCUAUAAUUCAUCAUAUUUUGACCUCAAAUCAGGUAAGAGUACCCGCUGAACUUAAGCAUAUCAAUAAGCGGAGGAAAAGAAAAUAACAAUGAUUCCCCUAGUAACGGCGAGUGAAGAGGGAUAAGCUCAAAUUUUAAAUCUGUCAGGUACACCUGGCCGAGUUGUAAUUUGAAGAAACGUUUUCUCGCGCUUCUGAUCAGUCCAAGUCCUAUUGAAUGAGGCAUCAUAGAGGGUGAUAAUCCCGUCCGGUUGAUCAAGGCGCUUUACGAUACGUUUUCAAAGAGUCAAGUUGUUUGGGAUUGCAGCUUAAAAUGGGAGGUAAAUUUCUCCUAAGGCUAAAUAUUGGCGAGAGACCGAUAGCGAACAAGUACCGUGAGGGAAAGAUGAAAAGUACUUUGAAAAGAGAGUUAAAUAGUACGUGAAAUUGUUGAAAGGGAA